AGGGAUGUAGAUCAAUGGAAGAUCGCCAGUCUCCAAAACUGGAUGAUGGGAGUUCAAAUCUCUCCAUCCCUG
rnacentral:tRNA from 1 species